UACAGAGGUCUCAAGCGUUGUUCGGAUUCAUUGGGCGUAAAGGGUGCGUAGGUGGCGCGGUAAGUCGGGUGUGAAAUUUCGGAGCUUAACUCCGAAACUGCAUUCGAUACUGCCGUGCUUGAGGACUGGAGAGGAGACUGGAAUUUACGGUGUAGCAGUGAAAUGCGUAGAGAUCGUAAGGAAGACCAGUGGCGAAGGUGGGUCUCUGGACAGUUCCUGACACUGAGGCACGAAGGCCAGGGGAGCAAACGGG
rnacentral:rRNA from 1 species